rnacentral:lncRNA from 1 species
GGAGGCCAUUUUAGAGGUGGGGAAACUGAGGCGCGAAUUGCCCACGGUCACCCAGCAGACCAGUGACAGAACUGGGUUUAGAACCCAGGUCUCCCGAGUCCCAGUCUAAUGCUCAAACUACUAGGCCGCUAGGCCCCAUCUUUGUUGUUAAACUUGGCACCUGGCCCAUACGUAACCUGAACAAAGCAUCUGCUUGGCUUUCUCUGAAUAUGUUUGGUUUUGAAGUCGUCUGGGUUCAAUUGCAACGCUUGUCCUCAGUAGGUGCAGUUCUGACAUAGAUACACUAUGUAGCGCCAUCUCCUAACUAAAACAGCUGGGGUCAUCUGUUUGUGCUCUCUGGGAAUUGAUCAGCCAUGUGGUACGGCUUGGAAAAGGAGGAUGUGUUUUGGACCUAGGGUUAAUUUUUUUUUUUUUUUUUUUUUUUUUGGCAGUUGUUCUUCAACAUGUUUCUACAUAUCUGCUAAGGAACUCAAACACUGCAUUGCUGUUAACUCUAGAGAGAGGAUAUAUGAUUGGUGGGAUCACAUAAGAUCUACAUUAUCCUCCAGCCACCAAGGAAUUGAAGAUCGGGUCCUAUUUAUAUGUCAUAGUGCACGUAUGGAACUGAGACUUCUCUGCUGCUCCUUUAAUCACUGGAGCAGAGCUGGAAGAGUGGUUUCUAAAGAUUUCAGCAGGCCGUAGGAUGGGGAGGUACCCCCUUCUUCCUACAGUUGGAGUUCUAUAGUGAUGAUGACUUCUUCGCUGCUGCCCACAAGGUGCUUCAUCUCCUCCAUUGCUCCACAGCCCUCAAAACCAUCAAACAGGGCCUAAUCCUGCAGGGUGCUGACUCCCUCCACCUAUCACUGUUCUAGAGAAUGGCAGGAGCAAAUCCUGAGGAACUGCAGUGACACCUGACUCUCCAGAAGCCAGUGCAAAGGGGGAAUGGCAUAUAUUUGGAAUCACAAUCAGUCUUAAAUGCAAGGGGUUUAAUAAAGAACACAGUGCUAACUAUAGACCA